GAACUGUUACAUUCAUCAACAUGAUUAAUUAAACUUUUCUUCUUAUUCCAAUAUGAAAAUCCCUUUGAAACAAAAGCUUCACCCCCACCUUGUUUUCCUUCAAGCUUAAAUAGGUAGCAACACAAGCAAUAUAAUGCAUCUUUCGAUAUGCUAUAUUCCAACCAUUUAUUGUGUAGAUCAAAUCAAUCUAGACAAAACUUACGUCGCUUUCCUCCAAUCAAUUUGUAUGGAAAAUUAUGCAGACGAGGUUGACAAGAGCCUUUUUGCAAAUAUUUCCUCCUUCAUCUCUUUUAUUAAAAUGAUAUUUUAAAUUUUUAUUUCUCAAAUUCACAUC
rnacentral:lncRNA from 1 species